rnacentral:tRNA from 1 species
GGCGGGGUUCCGGAGCGGUCAAACGGGUGCGGCUGUAAACCGCAUGGCUCUGCCUUCGCAGGUUCGAAUCCUGCCCCCGCCA